rnacentral:lncRNA from 1 species
CCCUCCCACCACCACCCCUCACCUUUCAUUUUGGCUCUUCCAGCUUCAGUGGUCCUGAAACCAGAGCCUGUGAGCGCCAGCUACAUGAAGUGACAAAGGUUCGCUUGUAACAGAAGAGACUAGAGAAAGAAAGGUAGAACAGGUUUUACAGCAAAUGUUUCCUGCAUUUUCACUUUGAUGACAACAGAGUGUUCUAGCCUCAAGAACUACCACAGAAUUGAACCUCCAACAGAACGGAGGAGGAACCUGGAGGCUCUCAGAUGGAGGAGACAUCUACAUACCCAGGAAAGCAAAACAGGGAUGGAAAGGGCUUUGAAGGGACGGGGCACUGAUGUUCUGAGAAUGCCAGAAGAGAUUCUAGAAAAAGAUGCAGCAUGCCUUGGCAACAGAUGGAAUGUGGGGAGCAAAAGAGAUGAAAGCAUCAAAAAGAUCAAGCCAUGUUUGCAAGGGACUGCAAGUUUUCAUGCACCACGAUUCAUGAUCCAGUAUGGCAGCGAUUAAAAAAUGCACAAUACAGAUGUGUCUAUGUUAUGUGGCUUUAAAGACUAUGAACAUGAUGAUGAUGCAACCCACCAGUGAGAGAACAACACAUGCCAACUGAUACCAUGAAGGGGUGGGGAAAAAAAAUAAACAAAAGCAGCAAAGCCGGACUCA